rnacentral:rRNA from 1 species
GAUGAACGCUGGCGGCGUGCCUAAUACAUGCAAGUCGAGCGAACAGACGAGGAGCUUGCUCCUCUGACGUUAGCGGCGGACGGGUGAGUAACACGUGGAUAACCUACCUAUAAGACUGGGAUAACUUCGGGAAACCGGAGCUAAUACCGGAUAAUAUAUUGAACCGCAUGGUUCAGUAGUGAAAGACGGUUUUGCUGUCACUUAUAGAUGGAUCCGCGCCGCAUUAGCUAGUUGGUAAGGUAACGGCUUACCAAGGCGACGAUGCGUAGCCGACCUGAGAGGGUGAUCGGCCACACUGGAACUGAGACACGGUCCCGACUCCUACGGGAGGCAGCAGUAGGGAAUCUUCCGCAAAGGGCGAAAGCCUGACGGAGCAACGCCGCGUGAGUGAUGAAGGUCUUCGGAUCGUAAAACUCUGUUAUUAGGGAAGAACAAAUGUGUAAGUAACUAUGCACGUCUUGACGGUACCUAAUCAGAAAGCCACGGCUAACUACGUG